rnacentral:lncRNA from 1 species
CUGUAAUAUGAAAAAUUUUUCUUUUUAGAAUUUGGAUCAGUCAUGUUAAAUCAAAAUAAAUCAUGUAAAAAGAGAAUGAAAUUUUUUUCUAAUUUGUGUUAAAUCAAAAUCGUGUAAAAAAAGUUCGUGCAAAAAUCAGAAUUGAAUAUAUUGCCUUUUUCGAAAAUCCUAAACACAGCUGCAAUAAACUGAUUAGGAUCCAUGAAAUUGCAGUUGUAAAAUUGCUUGUCUCUCCCUGCCAUGCUUGGCAAAUAUUAUAAAUGGCACACGAGAUUAGAAGACUUGACUACAAUUUCAGUUUUAAUAUUAUGCCAUGACUUAAGUACUAGUUCAAUUACUUCUGCUGUUUCUCAGUUUUGUGGCUGUGUUGUAUUGUCACUUUUGGUGUUUAAGAUGCAUAGCAUUGUUUUGUCCCAUGAAGAUUUGUUAAUGUGUAUACAAGUCAUUUAAUUGGCAAACCACCAACUGUUGCAUGUAUAUAUUUGUCAUGGCAAUGGAAUGAAAAAUAGCAAAUUCAGAAUGAAAAAAUUCAAUCCUGAUUUAAUUAAUACAAAUAUUGCAGAGUAGGAUUUUUUUGUCCUUAUUGGUUGAAAAUAUGAGCAUCCAAUUGUGGUUCC